ACAACACUGAAAAUGGAUGCUAUUCCCAGGAGCUGUUUUUGGAGAGGGUUGUGAAGACAAGGAAGAGAGUAACUCUUUUAGAAUCAGGUUUGUUUGUUCUUUCUGCAAGCACCUUCAUUUCAAAUGGAAUGAAACUUCUAGCAAGUUUCCUGAUGCCUAGAGCUCUAAGGAGCACCUUCGAUGCAAAUUGGGCCUCCUUUGCCUCGCUGCUCACUCAGAAGCACGUCUCAUGUCCUCGUCUGUGCUGGCUAUAAGGGUCCUUCCAUGCUCCUGACCCCCCAGGACCAUGUGCUGCAUCUCCAGGGCCAAGGCUGCCAGCAGAAAGACAGAACGGUGCCCUGGGCUAGCUUCCACAUCUUGAGAGCACAUGAAUGUAAGGAACACAAAUCAUACCCAGAAUCCUAUCUACAGGAGAGUUUGGGAAAGGAACUCUCUUGUGAAGAUACAGGGAGGCGUGCUGGACAGAGCUGGAAAUGAACGCUGAGCACAUGUGGGUGGGGCAGUCUGGGCUCCGAAGCCAAAAGCUAAAUGUGCAUUUCCCACCUGCCCCUGUUAGUAGCUGUGUGAUUGUGCAAAUGCUCUCUGUUCCUUCACAUAAAGCAAGGAGGUUGACCCACAAAUGCCCUGGUAAAAUCCUCCUGUCCCUUACCUCCCAAGAGUGUCUUUGUGGCCACUGUCCUUUCUUGAAAGAUUGCUCCAUCUAGAGUAGAGCAGCUGGAUUGCAGCUGUUUUCUACUCACAGAAGUCCCAACCUCUCCCACCUUGGGACUUUAGAAUACAUGGGAC